ACGCUGGCGGCAGGCCUAACACAUGCAAGUCGAGCGGUAGAGAGAAGCUUGCUUCUCUUGAGAGCGGCGGACGGGUGAGUAAUGCCUAGGAAUCUGCCUGGUAGUGGGGGAUAACGUUCGGAAACGGACGCUAAUACCGCAUACGUCCUACGGGAGAAAGCAGGGGACCUUCGGGCCUUGCGCUAUCAGAUGAGCCUAGGUCGGAUCAGCUAGUUGGUGGGGUAAUGGCUCACCAAGGCGACGAUCCGUAACUGGUCUGAGAGGAUGAUCAGUCACACUGGAACUGAGACACGGUCCAGACUCCUACGGGAGGCAGCAGUGGGGAAUAUUGGACAAUGGGCGAAAGCCUGAUCCAGCCAUGCCGCGUGUGUGAAGAAGGUCUUCGGAUUGUAAAGCACUUUAAGUUGGGAGGAAGGGUUGUAGAUUAAUACUCUGCAAUUUUGACGUUACCGACAGAAUAAGCACCGGCUAACUCUGUGCCAGCAGCCGCGGUAAUACAGAGGGUGCAAGCGUUAAUCGGAAUUACUGGGCGUAAAGCGCGCGUAGGUGGUUAGUUAAGUUGGAUGUGAAAUCCCCGGGCUCAACCUGGGAACUGCAUUCAAAACUGACUGACUAGAGUAUGGUAGAGGGUGGUGGAAUUUCCUGUGUAGCGGUGAAAUGCGUAGAUAUAGGAAGGAACACCAGUGGCGAAGGCGACCACCUGGACUGAUACUGACACUGAGGUGCGAAAGCGUGGGGAGCAAAC
rnacentral:rRNA from 1 species